rnacentral:rRNA from 1 species
GAUGAACGCUGGCGGCGUGCCUAAUACAUGCAAGUCGAGCGAACAGAUGAGGCGCUUGCUCCUCUGACGUUAGCGGCGGACGGGUGAGUAACACGUGGAUAACCUACCUAUAAGACUGGGAUAACUUCGGGAAACCGGAGCUAAUACCGGAUAAUAUAUUGAACCGCAUGGUUCAAUAGUGAAAGACGGUUUUGCUGUCACUUAUAGAUGGAUCCGCGCCGCAUUAGCUAGUUGGUAAGGUAACGGCUUACCACGGCAACGAUGCGUAGCCGACCUGAGAGAGGGAUCGGCCACACUGGAGCUGAGACGCGGUCCAGACUCCUACGAGAGGCAGCAGUAGGGAAUCGGCCGCAGUGGGCGAAAGUCUGACGGAGCAGCGCCGCGUGAGUGAUGAAGGUCUUGGGAGCGUAAAACUCUGUUAUGAGUGAAGAACAAAUGUGUAAGUAACUGUGCACGGCGUGACGGUACCUAAUCAGAAAGCCACGGCUAACUACGUG